rnacentral:rRNA from 1 species
GGCUCAGGAUGAACGCUAGCUACAGGCUUAACACAUGCAAGUCGAGGGAAACGAUAUUGGAAGCUUGCUUCUGAUAGGCGUCGACCGGCGCACGGGUGAGUAACGCGUAUCCAACCUGCCCAUCACUUGGGGAUAACCUUGCGAAAGUAAGACUAAUACCCAAUGACGUCUCUAGAAGACAUCUGAAAGAGAUUAAAGAUUUAUCGGUGAUGGAUGGGGAUGCGUCUGAUUAGCUUGUUGGCGGGUAACGGCCCACCAAGGCGACGAUCAGUAGGGGUUCUGAGAGGAAGGUCCCCCACAUUGGAACUGAGACACGGUCCAAACUCCUACGGGAGGCAGCAGUGAGGAAUAUUGGUCAAUGGACGAGAGUCUGAACCAGCCAAGUAGCGUGCAGGAUGACGGCCCUAUGGGUUGUAAACUGCUUUUAUAAGGGAAUAAAGUGGGAGUCGUGACUCUUUUUGCAUGUACCUUAUGAAUAAGGACCGGCUAAUUCCGUG